rnacentral:rRNA from 1 species
AGUGAACGCUGGCGGCGUGCCUAAUACAUGCAAGUCGAACGGAGUGGCGCAUGGGUGAGUAAUGUAUAGCUAAUCUGCCCUACACUAGAGGACAACAGUUGGACACGGAUGCUAAUACUCUAUAGUGUAGGAUGAGGCUAUAUUGUAUCAGCUAGUUGGUGAGGUAAUGUCUCACCAAGGCUAUGACGCAAAACUGGGCUGAGCGGAUGGUCAGUCACACUGGAACGGAGGCACAGUCCAGGAUCCUACGGGAAGGAGCAGGAGGGAAUAAUGCGCAAUGGGGGGAACGCUGAAGCAGCAACGCCGCGUGGAGGAUGACACUUGUCGGAGCGUAAACUCCGUUUGUUAGGGAAGCGGUACCUGACGAAUAAGCACCGGCUAACUCCGUGCCAGCAGCCGCGGUAAUUC